UACGUAGGUGACCAGCGUUGUCCGGAUUUACUGGGCGUAAAGAGCGCGCAGGCGGUCGUUCAAGUCGAGUGUGAAAGCCCCCGGCUCAACUGGGGAGGGUCACUCGAUACUGAUCGACUUGAAGGCAGGAGAGGGAAGCGGAAUUCCCGGUGUAGUGGUGAAAUGCGUAGAUAUCGGGAGGAACACCAGUGGCGAAGGCGGCUUCCUGGCCGUGACCUGACGCUGCGGCACGAAAGCGUGGGGAGCGAACCGG
rnacentral:rRNA from 1 species